rnacentral:lncRNA from 1 species
ACUACAUGGAGGCAAAUGAGGCAAAUGCCUCAUGUUGAAAAUUUGAAAAAAAAAAAAAAAAUUGAAACAAAAGCUUGUCUUCAUAUCAAAUUGAUUUCACGGCGAGUGUCUUGCAAGAAGCAAGUUCUCUUCACUCUCUGAUGUCGCCCCUGCAUGUUUUUCGUGAUCUAUGUUUCUAAUUUACUUUUAGUUUUCAAUGUUGAUGGUCUAUUGUUUGUAGUUAUGUGUCUUAUCUGUACCCGGGUUUGUCUUUUGUUCAUUUAUUGUCCUACUUUAUGACUAUAGUCUAAGUGUUGAUUUUCUUUUGUAAAUCUAGUAAUUUUGUUCAAAACUUGAGUUUUCUUAUACUGAAGGACCUUUUGUCUAAUUGAAAAAACUACAUUCAAUUGUAAGAAUAUUUGAAAUUAGAUCUACGAUGACGGGUGAACGGUUGUG